rnacentral:lncRNA from 1 species
CACCAGGGUCGGUCCCUACUGGCCCCCAGCCUUGCCCUGGCCACGGGCCUUUGGUUGAUGGUUCUGUCUCCAAAGAGCUCCAUCCAGGUGUAAUGCCUGGUUUUGACUUCCUUUGCCCUGCCUUGUCCUCAUGGGCUGCCUUGUGUUUUGGAGGAUUGGCUGAACCAGCUGCUGUCCUUGGACCUUUCCUGCUCCUUGCUCAGACAGCUCUCUCUUGGAAGGAAGAUUAUAUGGCACAUCCUGUGCUGGGCCAAGUCCCUGAGUUCCAUCCCAGUAGGUUCUACCUUUAAUUCAGCGAUGCAGCAUGCAGUCGAUGAGAUUUACUGAGGAUAUGCACCAUGGAAAGGGUGGAACGAGCUAGAACUGUGAUACUGCAUCAUUAAAAUAGUAACCCCAAAAGGAGGCCCUGCGGUCUUUUGGUGUUUUAUUUAUAUGCAUUAUGGAGCUACAACAGCUGCUGGAUUCCAUAAUUAAGCCCCAUUUUCCCUAAAUGUGGUGGAAAGGGUAAAAUAAGUGAGAAAUGCUGAUCACUGGUAAAAUUCUAAAAGAAAUCUUUUAUGUAUCUUGAUGCAUGUACCAACUCAAUUGGAUAGCUUCUUUUUUUGAAGCUUUUAUAAAUGUGAAUAGAUUAAAAAAUAUGGAUGGA